AAGUCGUAACAAGGUAACCGUAGGUGAACCUGCGGUUGGAUCAUUACCAAAGUAUAAAAAAAAGUAGGGCUUGAUUUCGGUCAGGUUUCUCUUUUUUUUCAACCUUUUGUGAACUUAAAAUCGUGUUUAUGUUAUUUGGCAGUUUGGCGAAACUGUAAUAAGCCGCUGUUUCUUGGUUAAACAUGGGCUGCCAAAAACAAUAUUAUUUAACAUUUUAUUGUGUUUUUUUUCUUUAAAUUUUUUCUGAGGUCUUUUGUGUUUGAUUUUUUGCUACCUUCUUGCCACUCUGCGGCAGCUGGAGUAGAGAAACAAAAACAAUGACUGAAAUAAAAAAAUUAAAAAACAACUUUUGACAACGGAUCUCUUGGCUCUU
rnacentral:misc_RNA from 1 species